rnacentral:rRNA from 2 species
UUGGAAACAGUGGCUAAGACUGGAUAGGAAGAUAAAAGGCAUCUUUUAUCUUUUAAAAGACCUAGUAAUAGGUAUGCUUUAGGAGGGGCUUGCGCCAUAUUAGUUAGUUGGUAGGGUAAUGGCCUACCAAGACGAUGAUGUGUAGCUGGACUGAGAGGUUGAACAGCCACAUUGGGACUGAGACACGGCCCAAACUCCUACGGGAGGCAGCAGUAGGGAAUUUUCGGCAAUGGAGGAAACUCUGACCGAGCAACGCCGCGUGAAUGACGAAGUACUUCGGUAUGUAAAGUUCUUUUAUCAAGGAAGAAAAGCAAAUGGCGAACCAUUUGUUUGCCGGUACUUGAUGAAUAAGCCCCGGCUAAUUAUGUGCCAGCAGCCGCGGUAAGACAUAAGGGGCAAGUGUUAUCCGGAAUUAUUGGGCGUAAAGGGUGCGUAGGCGGUCUAGUAAGUCAGUGGUGUAAUGGCAACGCUUAACGUUGUCCGGCUAUUGAAACUGCUAAACUUGAGUUAGAUAGAGGCGAGUGGAAUUCCAUGUGUAGCGGUAAAAUGCGUAAAUAUAUGGAGGAACACCAGAGGCGUAGGCGGCUCGCUGGGUCUUAACUGACGCUGAGGCACGAAAGCGUGGGGAGCAAACAGGAUUAGAUACCCUGGUAGUCCACGCCGUAAACGAUGAGUACUAAGUGUCGGGUUAAACCGGUACUGAAGUUAACACAUUAAGUACUCCGCCUGAGUAGUACGUACGCAAGUAUGAAACUUAAAGGAAUUGACGGGACUCCGCACAAGCGGUGGAUCAUGUUGUUUAAUUCGAAGAUACCCGAAAAACCUUACCAGGUCUUGACAUGUUUUUGCAAAAUGAUAGUAAUAUCGUGGAGGUUACCAGAAACACAGGUGGUGCAUGGUUGUCGUCAGCUCGUGUCGUGAGAUGUUAGGUUAAGUCCUAAAACGAGCGAAACCCUUAUCGUUAGUUGCCAGCACGUUAUGGUGGGGACUUUAACGAGACUGCCAAUGAUAAAUUGGAGGAAGGUGAGGAUCACGUCAAAUCAGCAUGCCCCUUAUGACCUGGGCUACAAACGUGAUACAAUGGCUGUUACAAAGGGUAGCUGAAACGCAAGUUCUUGGCCAAUCCCCAAAAACAGUCCCAGUCCGGAUUGAAGUCUGCAACUCGACUUCAUGAAGUUGGAAUCGCUAGUAAUCGCGAAUCAGCAUGUCGCGGUGAAUACGUUCUCGGGGUUUGUACACACCGCCCGUCAAACCACGAAAGUUGG